AGUGAACGCUGGCGGUAGGCCUAACACAUGCAAGUCGAACGGCAGCACAGGAGAGCUUGCUCUCUGGGUGGCGAGUGGCGGACGGGUGAGGAAUACAUCGGAAUCUACUCUGUCGUGGGGGAUAACGUAGGGAAACUUACGCUAAUACCGCAUACGACCUACGGGUGAAAGCAGGGGACCUUCGGGCCUUGCGCGAUUGAAUGAGCCGAUGUCGGAUUAGCUAGUUGGCGGGGUAAAGGCCCACCAAGGCGACGAUCCGUAGCUGGUCUGAGAGGACGACCAGCCACACUGGGACUGAGACACGGCCCAGACUCCUACGGGAGGCAGCAGUGGGGAAUUUUGGACAAUGGGCGCAAGCCUGAUCCAGCCAUGCCGCGUGCGGGAAGAAGGCCUUCGGGUUGUAAACCGCUUUUGUCAGGGAAGAAAUCCUGCGGGCUAAUAUCCUGCGGGGAUGACGGUACCUGAAGAAUAAGCACCGGCUAACUACGUGCCAGCAGCCGCUGUAA
rnacentral:rRNA from 1 species